UACAGAGGGUGCAAGCGUUGUUCGGAAUUAUUGGGCGUAAAGCGCGUGUAGGCGGCUUUGCAAGUCGGGUGUGAAAGCCCUCGGCUCAACCGAGGAAGUGCGCCCGAAACUGCAGAGCUUGAGUGCCGGAGAGGGUGGCGGAAUUCCCCAAGUAGAGGCGAAAUUCGUAGAUAUCGAGAGGAACACCGGCGGCGAAGGCGGCCAACUGGACGACUACUGACGCUGAGACACGAAAGCGUGGGGAGCAAACAGG
rnacentral:rRNA from 1 species